rnacentral:rRNA from 1 species
CAGUCGCCGCGGUAAUACGAAGGGUGCAAGCGUUAAUCGGAAUUACUGGGCGUAAAGCGUGCGUAGGCGGUGAGUUAAGUCUGCUGUGAAAUCCCCGGGCUCAACCUGGGAAUGGCAGUGGAUACUGGCUCGCUAGAGAGUGUCAGAGGAUGGUGGAAUUCCCGGUGUAGCGGUGAAAUGCGUAGAGAUCGGGAGGAACAUCAGCGGCGAAGGCGGCCAUCUGGGACAACACUGACGCUGAGGCACGAAAGCGUGGGGAGCAAACAGGAUUAGAUACCCCAGUAGUCCCUGUCUCUUAUAC